GUUUUGGACCAUUGUUUAUUCAUUAUAUUAGACCAAAAUUAAUAAAAACUAAAACAGUUCUCUAUUCACUUCAGUCAUUUUAAUAGGAAAACCAUUCUCUAUUCACUUUAGCCAUUUUAAUAAAAUACAUCAUUAAAACCGUUCUCUAUUCUUAUUCUUAGUCAUUUGAAUAAAUAAAAAAAGUAGAGAAUGAAACUAUUCUCAUUGUAUUCUUUCUAUGGAAACCCUUGAUAUCCAAACGAAGUAGAAUCGAAGAAAUAGCAGAGAGACCGCUGAAAGAGAAACCAACUUCUUCUUCUCUCUUCGCUCCAACUUUUCAUUUCUCCACUCAGUUUUGUUUACAAUUUAAUUUUGGUAUUCUAAACAGAGUAAUGGGUACAAAGUUUAGGUGAUUGAGUUGCUUUGAAUCCUUCUUUAAAGGUGUGCAAUAGUGUUUUCAGCAUAAAAUCUUUUGGAUUAAACAAGAUGUUGGUUGCUUAGCUGAAGAAAAUACAGGAUAUGAGAAUUCUUCCAGAAGUGAGCCAAAGCGUAGUGAUCAAUGGUUUAUGGAUACAGGUAGCCAAAAAUGUUUUGCAACAAGAAGCAAGUAGUUGAAGCUGUUAGUGACAGACCAAGAUUUCACUUGUCACGGGGUUGUUGAGGCAUGCCACUCUCUUGGUGUUAUUCAUAGAGAUCUCAGGCCUGAGAAUUUCUAUGUAGAAGAUGUAAUUUUGUUAAAUCCUAGUAGAGUGCUCUGUAUAGUGUUGCUUGUUACUUUCAAGAACAUAAGUCUGUAUUUUGGUUC